rnacentral:misc_RNA from 1 species
GAUGAAGAACGCAGCGAAAUGCGAUAAGUAGUGUGAAUUGCAGAAUUCAGUGAAUCAUCGAAUCUUUGAACGCACAUUGCGCCCCUUGGUAUCCCGAGGGGCAUGCCUGUUCGAGCGUCAUUUCACCACUCAAGCCUGGCUUGGUGUUGGGCGACGUCCUCUUUGGGGACGCGCCUCGAAACGCUCGGCGGCGUGGCACCGGCUUUAAGCGUAGCAGAAUCUUUCGCUUUGGAAGUCGGGGCCCCGUCUGCCGGAAGACCUGCUCGCAAGGUUGACCUCGGAUCAGGCAGGGAUACUCGCUGAACUUAAGCAUAUCAAUAAGCGGAGGA